rnacentral:lncRNA from 1 species
GCCAGAAUCCCUCGCCCACUUCUUCAUUUGCUUGGGCCAGGAUCACCCCAGAGGCAGUCCUGUGUAUGAAGGAGACCACUGUGGGUGCCACAGCUCCAAUGCUCCCUGUCCCAGGCACCCUGCCCACCCUGGGAACAGCAUCUUCCAGCCCGUGUGCACAGGGGUGGGAUGCUUGUAGAAUGUUUGUUUCAUAGGACAGGGUAUAUCUGUUUUUUAGAACUGGAUGCUUCUCAAGUGCUGUUAAGAGACUGCAACUUGUGGUGCUCGGAACCGUUGGCCGUUGUUAUGUAGGCACACAUUUCUCCUUGGUUGGUUUGACUUCCCAGCUGGGCAUUCAGGCUGGGUGUUACAUCACUUUCUUUUGCUAUGAGUCAUAGCUCUGAGAGACCAUGGCUGUGUCUACUGAAAAUGGAAGCCUGAAACGUUUGCGGAAGAAUAGAGGAAACCAAAAUAGUGCGAAAGGGCUGACGAUCACAAAUACAGACAGCAACAGCAAAAGCACCGAGGUGGAGUUUCUCAGCUGCAGAGAUAACAUAGCCCAGGGCUCCUUUGGGAUCUGUCUCUGGGAAUCAGCAUGGUUUGGGUGCAUCAUUUAGGGGGAAAAGCAGGAAGCAAGCUGAAUCAAGAGCAACAGUGUUAGAAUCCAUGAUGGGAUGUUCUAGCUGCUCUCUUUCGCUAUGGGAAAGCAAGGUUUAGAGAUGCCGACACCAGCAUACUCUUAAUUCUGAGGUAUUUUCUAUAGCUAUUUUUUGGUACCCAAAGGCGCAGUAAGGGUGCUCAGGGACAGACGUGAGCACUGAGCCAGCUCCACCACUCAGGCUGUGGCUGUUGGGCUGCAGCUGGCUGACCCAGGGGACAUGUUUUCAGUGGGCAUGUGAGCCAGCAGCUCUGCUUCUGUGAGCCUGCGUGUGAAGAGGAGUUCCUCCCUCGUGGGAAAUACUGACGAGAUGGUAAUUGUUUUGGUGGUUUUGCUGCAGAGCCUUCUGAAAACCCAGAUGCAGAGCAGUGGUGCUGGUAGCUCGGCCUACAGACUUGCCAUGUGUUUGAUGCAGCUGUGCUCAGAGAGGAAACUUCAGGAGCCAAGGAGUGUGAUUUCUCAAUAACCUGAUGGGCAGCAGGUAAAGCAGGGGGCUGGGACAGGGCUCCUGGGGGCAUCUGAGCGUCUGCAUUGCCUGCCUGUGCUCCUCUUGGAACAAAGGACUGCACUGUGCCCAUCAUGGAGGGGACUUUGUUGAGGUACUGGAGCCCCAGUCAGACAUCAGGGGUCUGUCACACAGCAUCACCCCGGGAAUGAAGUGGCCCCUCGUGCUCAUGGUUGAGCUGCUAUGGGCUGUUUUGGCACUUAGGUAACAAUGUGAUUUCCUGUCUCAUGACAGUUCAGAUAUUAAAGGUCACAUCUGCCUAAUACUUUCAGUCUUAACUAUGGCAAACUUUCCCAGCGCUUCUAAAGCAGACAGUUGUGGUAUGGUUCCCUUCUGAACCAUAUUCAGAAACCAGAGGUUGUUCUGUAGCUCUUUAUCAUUAUUGUUGCUACUACUAGUAGGUCUUGUACAGGGAUUACUCAGAACAGCAGCACAACAACAACUCUGCCCAGAGAAGGAAAGGUCAGGAUCUUCAGGUGCUGCUGCCACAAGCCUGCAGCCCGCUGUUCUGCGUCUCAGCAGCAGAUCUUGGUCAAAGCUGCACCAAAGAACAACUCCAGGGACAGCCCUCUCCUCUCUCCUGCUGUCUGUCCUUACCGUGCCUCGCAGCCUGUGAGGAUGCUGCAGAUGCACUCUGUGUGAACACUCAGGAGAUGAGGGAGCAGGAGAAAGGACACGCACAGAUUGAGGCUAAGGAGAAAAGAAACCCCAUGUGGUAAUUGCUUGCUAGAAAUAAAUGCAAGGGACUGAAUUCUUGGUGGCUCCAUGCAGAUUCACAGCAGCUGAGAAUCUGUCCCUGGAAACUGCAAGGGGUGCUAUGGCUGUGACUGUGUAUGCAAGCUUCAGGUUAUCUGUAUAAUGAGGUAGUCCAAAAAGUUGGAAGCUUUGUGCAAAUAUCUGAGAAUAUCCCCAGGACAGCAGGAGCCUUUGUGCUCGUCCUUAACCAGGUGGUAUUUGCCCGGCUUUCUGGAGCAGCUUGAAGUCCCCUUCAGAACAAAACCACCUUUAACAAACACAAACGUACUUUGUGUUCUCUAUGGAAGCCCAGUGCCCAGGCCAUGUUACUAUGUUACUGAACUCUAGUUUUUGCUGUGCUUCAACACAGUUAAAAGCCUGAAAGCUGAGCCAUUUUAAAGCAUCCCAUAAGACCCUUGAGUCAUGCAAAAUCCUAUCCCGUUUUUCCCUCUGGGUGAAGAGUUAUGAAUGAUAGAAGUGCUUUUAAAUCAUAGAUAAAGAAUGCUGAGUGAUGGGUUAGUAAAAAUAAUUUUAAGAACUCCCUAUUUUCAUCUAGAUUUUAUUUCCCUGGGUGUGAAUUCAACAGGUGGGGCUGAAAUAUCACAGCUUGCCCCCCAAAAGGAGCGGCGUGCAGCUGAAUCCCCGCAAGAGUCACUAUUCCUUUUCUUGCUUUCUUUACUGCUUCAGGCAAAUUAUGAUUGUAAUACUUCUCCGUUCUCUAGCACAGCUCAUUUCCCCACCCUGUACCAGCUCAAUUUCUCUGGCAGGACUGCUGGGAAUGGCGGACCGCUGCUUCCGUCUGCUCCCAAACCUCCUGCUGACAAAACUGCACCUCUGUGAUCCUACCCAACCUGCUUCUGACCCAGCCGGGUAGGCAGGGGGGUCAACGUGGUGUCCUCUGUGCUUGCAUCUACCAGUGCUGCUCUGCCAGCUGCUGACCCAGCACCAUGAGGAUACUCAGAUCCCCUGGAUAUUCUUCUUACUAGAAUAAAGCUACCUGGAACUACUGCUUGGUUCCGGAGGUAAGUGCUGCACUGCCCUUCCAUUCUACUUUUCCAUAUUUGCUACCUAUUACAGUGUUAAUCAUUGGGAUCCCUCUCUUUUCAGUUUCCUUUCCCUGAAACGCGGUGGUCAGACUUCCCAGACCGUGCAUUCUUUGUUGACCAGGAAUUUCUAAAUGCCAAAACAGAGCCAAAUGGAAAUGCUUUGCAGGGGGUUUUGUUACCGCGAGCCAUAGAAACAUUCAAUCAGGAAAAUAAGUCUCUCUUUUGAUUUCAGUCACCAUUUUGGGGCAUGCAUUUUAGGUCAGACAUUAUUUUUGACACAUACAAGACAACAAUUGGACAAACACACCAUUUUUUGGCUAGUAUUUCAUUUAAAAAAAAAAUUGAGGAAGACAGGUAUGUUUCAAUACAUGUGUAGCUCAGAUCUGUGCAAUUGAACUGCUUUUUUGCUUAGGGAAAAUAAUGUAAUUUAGUAACCUUGCUUGUUGCAUAGAGAAGAGCGGUUAUGCUUCUUCAUCAAACUGAAACAUCCCAUUACACGGAUUUCAGAUGAUUUCUCAUGCUAUUUUUUCAGGUUUCACUUUUUUUUUUUUUUUUCCUCCUUUAAAAGGAACUUGAAGCAACUCUCUGCUCAGCUCCCGCUGGUGAAAAAGCAGCCCUAUCCACUGCUCACUGUGAUGGGAAGAGAAGAAGUUGACAGCAACCUUUGGGCAUUCUGCUUCCUCCUCUUUCCCCAUCAGACCUUCCCUUUUGUAGUACAUCUGGAGGGCCACGAACAGCCUUGACAACAUCCCCAGAGGUCUCCUGCUUUCAAAAUGCCACGCGUUGAGCCUAUAUUGUAGUGAGCUGAGAUACUAACUUCAUGUGAGAUGAACUUCACGUGUGUUAACCUGAUGAGCUAGGUCUUGCCAGUGCUGUGAAUAGGUCUGGCUGUAGAAAACGCUUCUGGAGUGAGCAAAAAUUGCUCAUAUUCAGCUAAAUAUUCUGAAAACAGAAAGGCCUGCAGAGGAAGUGAACCUAGCAGCUAUCCAUAUAUUACUCAAACAUGACCACAUGCAUUCCGCUCUGUUUCUCAGCAAACCCCUCUGAAAAGGCUGUGCAUACGUCUUACUUCACAUGCAAGCGUUGACCUUUCCCAAUGAUGUCAGAGGAGAGCAAGCCAUAGGCCUGUUACAGAGCCCUGUGUCUCAUAUGCUUGUCCCAGCCACUGGGUGCUUUGUGAUGGACAUGCAGGGAUCGCAUACAUUUUCUACAGAAAGAGAGACCUGUCACCAUGGUGCUGGGCUCAGAGAGCUGCAGAGCAAGAGCUUCACCGAGCUGUAUGGCUGAAUUGUUCCCUUCUUCAUUGUCCAUUUAAAAAAAUCUAAAUGGAAGAUGGGAAGCUGCCUGCUUGAGGUUUGUGUAUGAAUAAUUAUAGGUACCUGCACUAGCAAGGGACUUUGUGAAAGACGAGAAAAUAGUUGGGCCUCUUCAGGGAAUGUGUGGCAAGCAGGUCAUUUAAAAAUAACUUUUGGAGGCUCUGGGAAGUGGGUGAAAUGAAGUAACAAACAGCUUCUGAAAAAACAGCCGACAAGGGAGCGUUUCAUCUGAUAUCACAGACUGCUAGUUUUCAUUCUGAUCCUGUUGUUGUCUUCUUUAUAUAGCUCAUAGAGUGCCCUUAAGUUGUCUCCAAAGGAUAUUAAUUUUCCACUGGCAUCAGAAAGGCUGCAAUGAUACUUGCACCAAGGUAAGCGACCCCCUCAAGGUUUCUGCACCCACAGCUCCGGACUGGCUGGAAACACAGGCAAUUAAUAAAUCAGAAAAUGAGUGCCUCUCGGCCCUCCUUGCUCCAGGGAAGCCAACAGGAGCUUUGUCAGUAGGAGCAGAACAAGACCACAGAGUGUGCCCCAUAAAGGAUGUGCAUGUGGAAAAGCUCUGCCGUCUAGAACGAAUGCCAGCUCUUAAGAGUUCUGAUCAAAGUCUGAAGUGGACUGAAGCAGAAAACACUGAACAAGAGCUGGGAUCCACCACAGAUGGGGGUGGCUUCGGCCACUACGGGAGGACUGCCACAGCCACGUGGUGAUGCUGAGAGACUUCCCAGCAAGCAGAGAACAUGCUGGUUCUUGCUCUGGGGUAUGGAAGGCCAUCUCAGUCGAUCAUGCCAAAGACAUCAGGACUUAUUCCUUGUGAAGCCUGGGUGGUAACUGGUAAUGAAGACCGUAACAGCCACAAUCUGUGGUAUGCUUUAAUCUACACAAAAUCUGGGAGCAUAAACAUCACUGAGCAUGCUGGGAUAGGGACUGAGAGUCACGUGCUGAAAGCCAGGCUGUUUCCCAGGGUCCUCUUACAGUUUUCAUGCUGGUUGGAAGUAGAUCAUGAGGUUGAUGGCACUUGUCAUCAUUACUUUACCCUCCUUUUUUGUGUUUGUGCAGAGAACCAUUUGCAAUGUGAAACAGUGCAGGACAUUGCCAAACAAAGCCAACCAAACACCCUGGGUAUGCUGCUUGGAUGAAAGAGCUCUUUAGAAGAUGGACAAAUGGACGCAGGGGACAAAAGAAAGAAUGAAGGCCUUGACAGAAUGCAAGCGAUGAGUAAUGACUUUGCUUUCUUCCAUUCCAGCUGCCACACAGGCACAUAUGUUUUGGGGUUCUCAGUGUGCUCUUGGCUUCCCAAAAUGCUGUGACAUGGAAAACCCUCAGCUGAGUUGGACAGAUAGAUAAACCAAGGCAUCGAGUACUUACGCAUCUAACGCUUGGGCACUCAAAUCCUCAUAAAGGAACUGGGAGCUCAGGAGACGCACAUGCAGGAGGCAUUUGAGAGCCAGGACUUCAGCAAAGAUUCAGGUAUUUGCUCAACCACAGCAAAAUGUCAUCCCCUUCAAGUGGUGAAUGAGCCCUUGAUCUCUGCAAGGUCAAGAUUUUUGCCUUCUGGCUUUAGGUGCUAGUGGUGAGAGACCUGUCCAAAGGUGCUGUUUUCUAGUGCUGUUGUCUAGUGCUCAUUUCUCUACCUAUUCACCUGUACACGUGAAGACCUCUGCUGCUGGCCCUUGUCUGCAGGAAGCUUGGUGUGUUGAGUCUCCUCAUCAACCCAUCUGUUGGGGUGACCGUUCAGCCCCUUGCUGGCUCACAGUCUUGCUUUUGGGAUAUUUCUUCCCUUUUACUCUGGAGCAUCUUAAAUGUGGGUCCACUGAAUGUACAGAUUGAGAGCAGGGAAUGAAGGAGACGUGUUGCAGAAUCAACCCACCGACGUGUGCUGCUCACCCACGCACAUGGGGAGAGGGAAAGAUUAAAAGAUUAAAGUUACAAACUGGAAAGCGCCCCAGGCUACCACGGAGAUCCGAGUGACUGCCUGCGAAGCCAAACUCCCACUCUGGAGGUGCCGCUCCACGCUCGCUGUCACUCACUCCACACUUGCUUUCUCCUGCCAUCCCUUCCUGCUACUGCCUUUGCUAUUUUUACAGGCUGAAAAAUUAAGUAAUCAUCUGUUUUGGCCACGAAGGAGGGCCCUGGGCAACUCCUGGUUGUCACUGCAGGGCUCGUGGGCGUAGCCUUCUGCUCCAUCGCUGCACUCCUGUACUUCUAGACCUUGAAGACUCCUCCAUCAGCCUUCUGCUUUGCCCCAUCUGCCCAUAUCACGGCCAGGUUUGGUUCGGAUGCGGCUCAGGACUUGCGUGGGAGGGGCAGCAAUUUGCAGCAGUUAGAAUUUCAGUAAUGACAUAGGGAAGUUUGCAAGGCCUUCAGUGCUUUCUCGCCCCUACAGUGAGGUGCGAAUCAAGGCUUGCUCUACCAAGCUUACAAUUAAAUAUGCCCACAGUAUCAUACUCCUUCCUGUCAUUUGUGAAGAUUUUCUCACUUUCUUUUCUUUCCCUUCGUUAGAGCUGGACAAAGUUUUGGGGCUGAAAAGGCACAGAAGUAAAACUAAGGUCUGGGAGCUCCAGAACAGUUAUUAGCGCAGUGCUUGCGUUGGUAGGCAUGAUGCAAAGAAGGCUGUGGAUGCCCCAUCCCUGGAGGCAUUCUAGGCCGGGCUGGAUGUGGCUCUGGGCAGCCUGGUCUGGUGGUUGGUGACCCUGCACAUAGCAGGGGGAUUGAAACUCGAUGGUCAUUGUGGUCCUUUUCAAGCCGGGCCAUUCUAUGAUAUGAUAUUUUUGUUUGACUGUAGCAGUUAAUCUGAGCCAAAACGAUGAUUUCAUUUAAUUCUUGGAGUAUUGAGCUCUAGAAAUGUUUCUUUUCCAAUUUGCUUUCUGUUACUGUAUUUGAGUUUGGGGGCACUUUUUGUCAGAAACAAGCUGUUUCAAAGAAUAAAAACGGUUUGGCUCUGCUGCUUUGAGUAUGUUGAAAUGGUGUAUUUUGACAUCUCAGAAGUUCCUCCUCCUCCCUGUGCUUUUCAGAUGAAGGUAUUCCUCAGACUCAGGCUGUACUUGUGAAUGUGUUCAGUCCCCUUAGGGUUCCAUAUUUAAUCUGGUCUCCCAGCUAUCAGCUAUGCUGCCUGGCUCUGCUGUUGUGUGGAGGUGACAAAGGAGCACUGGGACCUUCUCGGUCCUGCAAGAAAUGGUGCUCAUUGCACGUGAGAUGGUGGGACAGCCAACUCCUAGCUUGGCUUUCCUGCUGAGGACAGUGGGAACCCUGCAGAUCAGGACACGUUCGGGUGAUUCGCACCUGCCCUUAGAUACCAGCAUUUCUUCUGGCGUGACUGCUUUCUC